rnacentral:lncRNA from 1 species
CUGCAUUCAUAAUUACUGAGAAGUCUGAGGGUGCCUUACAUGAGGUGGUGCUCUUAAUACCUGCAUUUUACAUCAAAACAAACUGGGAAUGGGAGAAUUUGCAAAGCAACCUUCCCUGACUGUGGUACAGAUAGGAGCAGAAUCCUAAAAUGUUGGAUGUCACUUUGCUGCUAUAUCAACUCAUGCACUGUGACCUCAUAUAAUUAAGUGUCCAAGUCAUUCCGAUCAGGAUUUUCAGCAAGAACAUUUCUUGGAGGUAGUUAUGCUGAGUCCUUAUCUAUGCUUUAUUCCAGGAAAUGACACUGUAGCAACACUGUGACAAUACUGCUUUUGCUAAACCUGGCUGUGGACAGGGAGUGAAGCCUUGUUUAACCCAAGUGUGUUUUUGCACUUGAAUCUAAGAGCUUCUGCUUAAGUAUUUGUAAAACAUAUAGAUGUUAAACAAGUCUAUGACUGAUCUUGGCUACUAAAAAAUAACACUAAUGUUCAGAAAUAGCUAAAAUGUGUAAAUAAGGAACUGGUGAUUUUUGAGUAUUCUCCAAGCUACUUAAAAAUAACUGAGGAUUCCACGAAGCUCAUUUCUAGGCAUAAAAACAGUCAAUUUCUCUUCUUCUAAGAAUUAGAUGAUCAGAUACUUGCUGCUUUGUGACGUAUGAGCAUGUACUUAGAUCAUUCACUCUUGGAGGGAAAUCAUUAUAUAUGAAUAAAAAGUUUAAUUGGGAAAAAAUAUGUGCAGCCUUCAGAGCAUUUAGGAAAAGCUUGAAAACUAAAAUCUCAGUUUUCAAAUCAUGUUCCUUACAAGAGACAAACAAACAAAUAAGAAAUGGUUCAGUUUGAAAGGGGUUUUUUGCAAUAGCCAGAGAAAAGUAGUUUAUAUACUUUUAAAUAGUCAAGUUUAACUUUAUUGAAAUUAGAUUUGAAUUUUUAAAAGAUAGGAAAAUUUGUUUUGGAGCUAUCAGAAAAGUUGCUGCUUGAAAACUACUGAGUUUGAAAACCAUUUUACCUAAAGAGAAAGAGAUUCAUAGCAUCCAAAUUUAGUUAUGAGGUGCUACAAAACAUUUGUCCAUUGGGAAUUUGGAUCCGUUUUUUGCUGUAUGAAGCCAUAAAAUGAAAGAUAACAUUAUUUCAUAAUAACAUGGGAGAGGAACAAUAGGGUGUUCUGUCUGUAUACAUAGAAUCAUAGAAUCAUGGUUGUUCAGAGGAGAAGCUCAAAAAAUCUGUCUUAAUUCUCCAACUCUGAUGUAAUUUCUAUCCUUCACAUCUUUGUUUUGUACCAUGUAUGGUAUAAGCUGAAAUAACUAAGUGAAGACCGUCUUUCUUGCUGGUAUCUUCUCAGCAAAUAGUGAUUUUAUGUGGAUUAGUGGUAUGCGUAGUUCCAGAUUGGGAAAUUAGAGAUUAAUGAUAGUACAGUAGGAUGGCUGGUUCGAGUGGAUGAAUCUGACUAGUAAAUUAACAAAAUGCAGUCAAGAUGUUUUGGUUUGUACCUGUUCAUGUACUUUUUCUUGAUAAUAAUUUGUUCAAAAACAUUUUCCUGGAUUUGGUACUUUGAGGGAACUGACAAUAUGUUUACAAUCAAAAUUUGUCUUCGAGGAGCUAUAUUCAUCUCACUUAUUUUGUAGAACAGGAAAUUGGAAUUAACUGGAAAUGACUUUCCGGUCUGCAGUUCUCCACUUAUGGACUUAUUUACCAGAAGACUGAAUAUGAAAUAAUUGCCAGAAUAGAUCUGGCCUUUUACAUAUUUGGAAUGCUCUGGAAAUUUAGUGUAUCUUGAGCAGUUAUCAAAAAGAUGGCCUUAUUAUUCAAGUGUAAGCAAUCUUUAGUCAAUUUUUGACAUGGUAGACUUGAUAACAGUAAGUAUGCAAGUAAAUUACGUGAACUUAUAUGCUUAUAUGAAUUCAAAUAGAACAUUUUGUACUUUGUUUAGUAUAGAUAAUAUUUUAUAUGGCCAGAUAUAUCAAAUUGCUUUACUGUAUAUGUUAUAUCACCUUGUAAAAUCCUCAGAAUCAGCGAGUUGUGGGAGUGAGUUAUUUUAAUCUCAGUGAUAAGUUCUGCAGCAAUGAUAAGGGUGAUAGAUAGGAAAACAUGUCCUUGUUUAGGACAGGUAAAUGUGGCUGGAUAACAUUGUGUAUUCGUGACAAGACUGACAGUUUAGAUACAGGAAAACAUUAAAAAGGAUAAAAUGAGAUUCAUUAUUCAACAUUAUUUUGAUAAAGACGAGGAAAGGACAGUUCUAAGAGUCUCCAUGGUCUACACAUUAUCUAGAAAUGGCAAAUGAUGUAGCAUAGUGGAUAAAUAAAUACCACUGGAAGCUAUUUUAUUAUGAGAAAUUCUUUUUUCAGGUAUAGAGUGCUGCUAACAGUGAUAGCCCCCAUCUUUCUAGAUUCAAUAUCACCAAUGUUUUUCUUAAAAAAAUCACUGAAUAAACACUUCAGUUCUUUCAUGUCAGUUAACCUCUAAUCAUCUGUUGUAAUAAUUGCCUAGCUAACAACUUAUAGUUUAUUUCUAGUCUGAACUUAUCUACUUUCCAAUAGAUAUUUUUAGUGUGCUCUAGACUGAAGGUUUAUCAUCAAAGUUAUAUUUCUAUUACAGGUUCUUAUGGCAUGUGAUUGAGACUUUUCGUUGUGGUCUGUGUGAUAUGCUAACUGGAUUGAUCUCAUCCCCUUUUUCACUGUUACGCGUAUUUUCCAGUUCAUCAGUCAUACAGUGACUUUUUUUUCAGAAUCUUUUCCAAGAGUUUCAGCGUCCUUCUUAACAAAUGGAAAACGCAACUAUGCACAGAAUUACAUCAGGUGUCAUAACUAUGAAAAACAUUGUGAUGUUGACUUUUUGUGUAUAUGUUCUGAUGAUUUUUGUGGUGUUUUUUGUUUUUUUUUUUUUUUUUUUGUUAUUUACUUAUUCUGCAGUGGUUCUUUUUUUUUUUUUUUUUUUUUUAUAAUCAUAAGAUCAUAUUAAUCCUUUGAGUUACAAUGUUGUGCUCAAAAAUUACUUCUCAGUUUCUUACCUGUUGUCAUACUAAGACCAUUUCAAAAUCACAGCUUUCAAGACAGAAAUAGCCACUGCAAUACCAUGCCCUACAUUCUUGCCUUUGAUGUGCACUUUUACAUUUGAAACACAUAGAGUUUGCUUACAGACUAUAGGGAUAACUUUUCCUAUUUCCUUUAUUUACUUCUCCUGAGGCAUUUUGUCAUCAACAAAUUUAGUAUAUUUUGUAUAUGUGGCUUUAUUGUGUAUUUAUAUAUUCCACAGCAAUUAAAGAUAAAAAGAUUAAGAAGUACAGAUCCAAAAAGAACAAAAAAGACUCAAAUAUGUGUCUACUUAAAAUGCAGCUCUUUGACAGUGAUUCUAAGUUAGAUCUGUGUUUAAGGUUAAAAAUCUUAUAUUUUUAACCCAUUUAACAUGUGAAUUUUAAUUGUUCAAGUCAUUCAAGAUAUCAUGUGAUUUCAAGUCAAGUGUAUAAUAGAAUCUAUUGCAGCACAUAAUUUUUUUCAUUGUGCAAAUUUGUAAUUAUGCCAAAAUGUUACCAAUUUAAUUCAAAUCUCUAGAAAUGCAGAAUAACAUUAAUCACAGUGCAUUGUUUUAAUUAUUAAUAAUGUAAUUUUAUUUUGACAAUUCUAUUAUUUUGCCUAGGACAGCGCUACAUCAUGAGGUUUAUAGAUUUCCAUACGAAAAAAGAAGUGCAAAUCCUUUCAAAAUACAUUUUCAAGGUAUAACUUUAUUCUAGAACAUUCCCAGAGCUUCAAAAUGUAUUGGAAAAUCAACAUUUAUUGUCUAGAGAAUUCUUUGGCCUUAUGUUUUAAGUUUUUAGAUUCAAAUUAUCUGAAUUUACUCAUCAUAAAAUGCUCAGUUUUUUUUUUUUUUUUAAUUGUUCAAUAGUUUUUCACUGUCUUUAUAUGUGUAAUCACAUUAUUAUUUCUUAAAAAAAAAAAGUAAAUAUUUACUGAGAAAUAUCUGUCCUUUAUUUUUACUUAUCAUUCUAUUUUCUCUAAAUAGUCAUUUACCCGUACAGUUGGACAUGUAAUUCAGUCUGAAAGGAACACGUGAUUUGAACUUUGGAUGGCAUUUGAUUCAGUCGCUUUAUGGGAGCCAACACUGUAACUCUCACAAUAGCAUUAACUGCAAAAUAGGAGUAGAUUCUCUUUCUGAGUGCAUCAGUUUUUAUUUUCAAGCAACAUGACUUUUAUUCUUCAGUAAAGCAUAGAGAUAACUACCCUCUAAUCAUAAAUUCCAGAAUAAUCAGGAACAUACACCAUUCUGUCAUUACAUAAUAACAUCGUGUAUCUGAAGGAACUAUUUUCCUUAUUUUAAAAUGCUAAAAAUAUGUUUAUUUAGAAUAAAUGCUGUUAUUCCCGAAAUCCCCUAUCUAUCCCUCUAGUCUUCCAUUUAUAACAUAAAGUCUUUGUUAAUGCCCUGUUCCAGGUGCCAUUAAAAAAAAAAAAAAAAAAAAAAGUGUGCUGAUUUUAAUUUUAAACUCUGUGUAAACUUGAAGACAUCUUAACAUUUGAUCAUUGAACAUUUAACCACUUAAACACUGAGCAUAUGAACACUUAAAAGUUUUUGUAGGAGAAACAGACAGAGGUUUACUGAGCUUUAUGUCUGAGUGAAAGUGUUACAGGUCAGAAGGAAAAAUUCACGGGAGUUUAACCUCACAUUUCAUUGCAAUUUUGAAGUUUGAAAACCAGUUUAUAGAGCAACAGUUAAAAUAAAAAUCUGCCCGUGAAGGUACUAACUAGUCCCAGCAUAAAUCUGAGUUUGAAUAACAGAGGGUCAGAUAAAUUUUUCUGAUUAUCUGCAUGAAUGCAAAGGCACUAUCUAGCAAAGAAGUCUUAGCCCUGCAUCUUAACUCUCUGUUUAAAGUACACAGAAAGAUUUUCCAGAUGAAAUCCUAUUCUCUUAAACUUAGGUACCUACAGUAGGCAGAUAGGAUCUCCUGCUGGUAAUUUUCAAAAUCUCUACACUGUCUUUUGGCUAUUUACAUAAUAUAAGCUUUUUUUUUUUUUUUUUUUUUUUUUUUUUUUUUUUUUCCACCUAUCUACUAUACAACAUUGAGUGCUAUAUCAGUGGUACAGAACAGCAUAAGGUGAUGUUAAAUCAUAGCCUAGGAUAUUAAACUGGUAGAGAGUUUUGUGUUCUACUGAGAAGCCUGGCAAUGUAUUGUGAAACAUGAAACGUCUUUUUGCCUUCCCUUCCUUACACAAACUUUAUGUAGUAUUGUUGGUUGAUUUUGCCUUUCUUGUUGAUAAUUAUUUUACUUUUCUACAGAAUAGUACACUACUGCUCAAUAAUGGAAAAACAAAACUUAGUGAUAAAAGAUGGUCAUUAAUCAUAGAAUCAUAGAAUCACUAGGUUGGAAAAGAAUUCAAAGAUCACCCAGUAUAACUGUCCACCUACCACCAAUAUUUUCCCACUAAAUCAUGUCCAAUUCUACAAUAUCUAACAAGGGGUACUUAUUUUUACUUUGCGAUUUGUACAAACACUUGAUUCUCAGAUCAAUUUCAAACCAGUAAG